GCGUCCCCCGGCGAUGAUGUCCGCCGCCCUGUAAAGACAGGGAAACCGUCCGCAGGGACUAAUGACCUCUACUCAAGG
rnacentral:ncRNA from 2 species